GUGAAAAACACCUUGUAGAUAGAUGUGACUCGGCCACUUGACUACAUAAAGAUUAAAAAAGAAACUCAGUAAUAGUAAUCUCUGAGUAAUCUCACAUGAGUGCUGCUGUGGCUCCGCCUCAGGGUGAUCCAGUUUAAUUGACUUAUUCCAACAGGUUGAGGCUGAUUUCCUCUACAGCUCACAGACAGAUCAUCACUGAUUGCCCGGGACUCCUCAGCCACUCACACAGCAUUUACUUCUUUGACCAGGACCAGGAUCAAGAAGGAUACUGUAGCCAUACCUCAGACAUAGUCGUCUGUUUACCAGUUUGACAGAGUAGAGGAGGCAACUCCCUAGGUUGAAGGUGUGUGUUAAUUGCCCUUGAAAAGCUCAAGUGCCACAAAUUCCCAUUUUGAUUUGGCUCUAAAACAUCACCAACACCAUCAACAAUGGGUAACUCCAAAAGUGGCGCUGUGUCCAAGGAGAUCCUGGAGGACCUGAAACUCCACACCAAGUUCACAGAGACUGAGAUUGUUCAGUGGUAUGAAAACUUCAAGAAGCAGUGUCCAGAAGGGCGCAUCACAAAAGAAGAAUUCCAGAGCAUCUACACCAGGUUCUUCCCGGAAAGUGACGCCCAGACAUACGCCCAGCAUGUCUUCCGCUCCUUUGACACAAACGAGGAUGGAACACUGGACUUCAAGGAGUACAUCAUUGCUCUCCACAUGACAUCAACAGGGAAAACCACCAGCAAACUGGAGUGGGCCUUCUCGCUGUUCGACGUGGACAGGAACGGAUACAUCACAAAGUCAGAGGUCAAGGAAAUCUGUACGGCAAUUUUCAAGCUGAUUCCUAAAGAUGAGCUGGCUGCUCUGGCUGAGGAUGAAAACACAGCUGAGAAGAGGGCAAAUAAACUCUGGAAUGUCUUUGAGAAGGGCGAUAAUGACCGAGUUGCAGAAGGAGAGUUUAUCCAGGGAGUGUUGGACAAUGAAGACGCCCUUCGUUUGAUUCAGUAUUCGCCUGCAAAGUAACUCUUCUACAGAUUCAUUGUAUCUCUCUCCAGUCGUGUCGUUUCCAAUUCACCCAUAACUCUGCUAAUACAAUGACACCUGACAACACCUUCACAACACACAGCAAGUGUGACGUCAGUUUUUAGUUUACAUUUCUUGAGAAAAUGUAAUUAUGGGUGUGUGUAUUAGCAACUCAAGCACACAUUUUAAUAUGAUAACAUGUCACAUGCUUUAGUUAAAGUAUCAUUACCAUGAAAUAUGUUGUUUUUUCUCUUCUGGACAGCCAAUGCUGGUGUCUGUAGUCUCUCAUUCUACCAUGCACGUUUUUUAAAACCCAGAACAAGAUGUAAUUGCAGCAAGGUCAACACAUUCUCACUUCCACCGCGUCAAAAAACUACGCUUUGUCAGUUGCCUUUGGCGUUUGUUAGGGACGCAAAAAGUUUCCUUUGGCAACUCAGUUAGAUGCAGUGCGGCUUUCCUUUUGGCGUCAUUUUAUGACGCACUUGGUCUGGAUUCUUGGCGUCACAUUUUGACACUCUGGGUUGGGACAGAUUUAGCGUCAUUUAAAAAUUGUACGUUUAACUGACAUGCGGCAGUAAGGUUUAGGAAAAGAUGGUGGGUGGGGUUACAAAAUGUACGUUUCAGUAACAUGUGGGACAAAAAUAGAACACAAACCCCAGUCUCCUGGGUGAAAGUCCUGUGUUGUUCCAGCACCCCAACUUACCUCGGUCUUUAAUACCACUAGCUACCGUUGUCGCUCUUAA